GGAAAAAGAGGAUGUGGGGGCACAAACACCGGAGUUGGUGCUCUUAGGGUUGCAUCUGCACUAUCUCUUCUGGAAGGAUUUGGAGCUCUUUUCACAAAAGGCUCUCAAUGCUGCUUACUGGCAACACAGCUAGAGCUCUUAACCGCCUUCGGUGACUGAUGAGCAUUUUGGUUGCUGUGAGGCUCAGCAAGGAUCCCCGUAAGAGUCUGGUAUGAUUUCUGGUGUAUGGUCAAUUAGUUUCCC